CCUACGGGUGGCAGCAGUGGGGAAUUUUGGACAAUGGGGGCAACCCUGAUCCAGCCAUGCCGCGUGUCUGAAGAAGGCCUUCGGGUUGUAAAGGACUUUUGUUAGGGAAGAAAAGGGAAGUGCUAAUACCACUUUUUGCUGACGGUACCUAAAGAAUAAGCACCGGCUAACUACGUGCCAGCAGCCGCGGUAAUACGUAGGGUGCGAGCGUUAAUCGGAAUUACUGGGCGUAAAGGGAGCGCAGACGGUUACUUAAGCAGGAUGUGAAAUCCCCGGGCUCAACCUGGGAACUGCGUUCUGAACUGGGUAGCUAGAGUAUGUCAGAGGGGGGUAGAAUUCCACGUGUAGCAGUGAAAUGCGUAGAGAUGUGGAGGAAUACCGAUGGCGAAGGCAGCCCCCUGGGAUAAUACUGACGUUCAUGCUCGAAAGCGUGGGUAGCAAACAGGAUUAGAUACCCUGGUAGUC
rnacentral:rRNA from 1 species